rnacentral:rRNA from 1 species
AUUGAACGCUGGCGGCAGGCCUAACACAUGCAAGUCGAGCGAGCGGCGGACGGGUGAGUAAUGUAUGGGGACUGCCCGAUAGAGGGGGAUAACUACUGGAAACGGUGGCUAAUACCGCAUACUAUCGGAUAACCCAUAUGGGAUUAGCUAGUAGGUGGGGGAAAGGCUCACCAAGGCGACGAGCUCUAGCUGGUCGGAGAGGAUGAUCAGCCACACUGUGACUUAGACACGGCCCAGACUCCUACGGAGGCAGCAGUGUGGAAUAUUGCACAAUGGGGGCAAGCCUGAUGCAGCCAUGCCGCGUGUAUGAAGAAGGCCUUAGGGUUGUAAAGUACUUUCAGCGGGGAGGCGUUACCCGCAGAAGAAGCACCGGCUAACUCCGUGCCAGCAGCCGCGGUAAUUC